AAUGACAUCAGACUGGGCUUGUGCCUGAUAAUUCAUUUCUGAAGGUGCAAUAUUAAGUGUCACAGUGUCCAGCUGGUGAUAUUUUCAGCAUAGAAACCUGUUAGACACGGCAGCAUUAACGAGAUGGAAUGAAUUGAUUUAUUUCUCUUCUGAAUUGCUUGGCAGUGCUUCAAGAUUGACGCAUCAGAUUUGCACAAUGUGCCACUUUAGGAGAUUAUUUCUUCCUUCCUUCAGCCAGACAGAAGACUGCAGUAGGGAUAUGGUUCCUGUUUGCCUAUUUCCAUCCACAACUCUGCCAGAGACGAAAGCAGUGUUUGAAACAAUUCACCAAGAUUUCCAUCUGUAAUCAUCAAGAAUGGAACUGAUCAAAUUCCUUAAGAAAUUUACUUAAAGUCAUGAUUUUGACAGCCUAGUGCUAUCUGGAAAAGGGACAGCAGCAGCCUGGAGCAGUUUUCUAGCUAACAAGAAUUUUGUUAGCUAUGUGGCCACCUAGUGGCUCUUCCAUGGAUGUCGCUGAUGCGUUGUCAGGUACACAGACAAUUGCCCACUAAUAAAGAAGUUAUUAUCUUUCUUGGAA
rnacentral:antisense_RNA from 1 species